UACAGAGGGGGCAAGCGUUAUUCGGAUUUACUGGGCGUAAAGGGCGCGUAGGCGGCCACCGCAAGUCGACUGUGAAAUCUCCGGGCUUAACCCGGAAAGGUCAGCCGAUACUGCGGGGCUAGAGUGCAGAAGGGGCAACUGGAAUUCUCGGUGUAGCGGUGAAAUGCGUAGAUAUCGAGAGGAACACCUGCGGCGAAGGCGGGUUGCUGGGCUGACACUGACGCUGAUGCGCGAAAGCUAGGGGAGCGAACGGG
rnacentral:rRNA from 1 species